AUGGGAGAGCAUAUAACAGAAUAUAAACAUAACUCACCAUUUUUUAUCAGAUUCAUGAUCAAACUACAGAAGAAUCACUAUCGCAGAAAAUCUCCAUCUCCUCUCUUUCUCUCAACCUUCAGAACCAUCUUCAUCCUUGUCCCUCUUAUCUCUGCAACAACUAUUCAACCUCAACUCCGCUCUCUGAUAUGA